GGUCCUGCGUUACAGACAUGUGCGAAUGUCCGGUCCAUAAAAACUGCUACUGUGAGUCAUUCCUGGCAUAUACCCGGGCCUGCCAGAGAGAAGGCAUCAGAAUCCACUGGGAGCCUCAGCAGAACUGUGCAGCCACCCAGUGUAAGCACGGUGCUGUGUAUGACACCUGUGGCCCCGGAUGCGUCAAGACCUGUGAUAACUGGAAUGAGAUCGGCCCAUGCAAUAAGCCAUGUGUUGCGGGUUGCCACUGUCCAGCCAACUUGGUCCUUCACAAGGGAAGGUGCAUCAAGCCAGUCCUUUGUCCUCAGCGGUGACCUUUGUUCUGCUCCUUAAGACUUUGAAACCUGGUGUCCUUGACACUGAAGUGGAAGAGCCAAUGAAAGACUGCAGUAUUUGUGUGCCUGAUUCUGCAAAUGCACACACACAGAGAAUAUAUGUGUGUAUAUAUAUAUAGAUAUAUUCAAAAACAUUUCAUCAUUUAUAUAAACUAUAGGUGGAUUAUUAUAUGUAUAUUUUUUGCUAUAAUACAUAUAUUGUUUCUAGGAUCCUAACCUGUAAGCCAUUGGAUAUGUUGUAUAAAUACACCAAGUGUUUUUAAUUUAAUAAGGCAGCAUGCAGAUAUAUUGGAUGGCUUUAACAUCACAUACGUUUGUCAUUUUUAAGGAAGUUUUCUAAGAACCCUCAAUUGCCUGCCUGCAUUAAUUUUAGCUUUGAAUCAGGACUUGUAAUUGAGUGGGAAAUGUGUUUCUCUGGAGAAGGGCACAUUUAUCUAGGGGCAUUUCAUGUCUCCAAAGAAAGGAAUGUAUACCUGAGAGAGAUGGCAGGAGAUUGGUGACAGGCCCUAAUCGUGCAUGUAAAGCAGGAGAUAGGCUAUUAGACUUUAUUGGGUCAUGGUCUGAUAUUAUUUCCAGAACUGAUUGGCUAGUUGCCAAGAAAUAUAUAUUUGUCACUAGGGCAUAACCAAAGAAUCAAGUGAUUUCUUGCCCUCUUCGCAUAUUCCUUGAGUCUCCUAAUUAUAUAUGUGUGCAUGAUGGAUGUGACCAUUUGUAUGUCAUGCAUCAAGAUUAAGGGGGGUUGUCUGGAUGACAUGUUAAUUUUACUGAGCAUGAGAAGAUAUUUGGAGAAACUGUUGCACGACGUACAAAGAAAUAUCCAUUUCUCUAAAUCUCAGAGCCAUUUAGGGUGGACAAAUCCAAUGAGUUGAUGUAAGCCACAUUUUGUGACUAUUCUACGUAUAAAAUGAAAGUCUUUCCUUAUUUCUGGAAGAUUCCUGUCUAUGAGAUGACUGUUAAUAUGUCAUUAAUUAUUAGACAGGGAAAAAGCCUGUACUUUUUAUAUACUGACCAGGUUAUUUAACAUCAGUAAAAACAAAGAAUGGCCUAUAUGCUUGCUCUAAUUUACUGACGGGUUACCCCUAGUCACCAGGUGACCUUCUUGACUUUAGUUUUCCAUUGAGUAAAUGAAAAUGUCAACAAAACAAGACCCACUGUGUCUAAAAUAAAAUGUUCUGCAUUGUAGUAAUAAAGGGCUUAAGAUUCAAAACAAUA